rnacentral:rRNA from 1 species
UACAGAGGUCUCGAGCGUUGUUCGGAUUCAUUGGGCGUAAAGAGCUCGUAGGCGGCUUGUCACGUCGGGUGUGAAAGCCCGGGGCUUAACCCCGGGUCUGCAUUCGAUACGGGCAGGCUAGAGUGUGGUAGGGGAGAUCGGAAUUCCUGGUGUAGCGGUGAAAUGCGCAGAUAUCAGGAGGAACACCGGUGGCGAAGGCGGAUCUCUGGGCCAUUACUGACGCUGAGGAGCGAAAGCGUGGGAAGCGAACAGG